rnacentral:rRNA from 1 species
UUCCGGUUGAUCCUGCCGGACCCGACUGCUAUCAGAGUGAGAUUAAGCCAUGCGAGUUAACGUAGCAAUACGUGGCGCACGGCUCAGUAACACGUAGUCAACGUGCCCAGAGGACGUGGAUAACCUCGGGAAACUGAGUCUAAACCGCGACAAGUGAGGAUUUCUGGAAUGGUUCCUGACUAAAAUCUAUAUGGCCUCUGGAUUGGACUGCGGCCGAUCAGGCUGUUGGUGAGGUAAUGGCCCACCAAACCUGUAACCGGUACGGGCUCUGAGAGGAGGAGCCCGGAGAUGGGCACUGAGACAAGGGCCCAGGCCCUAUGGGGCGCAGCAGGCGCGAAACCUCUGCAAUAGGCGAAAGCCUGACAGGGUUACUCUGAGUGACUUUCGCUAAGAAAGUCUUUUGGCACCUCUAAAAAGGGUGCAGAAUAAGGGGUGGGCAAGUCUGGCGUCAGCCGCCGCGGUAAUACCAGCACCCCGAGUGGUCGGGACGAUUAUUGGGCCUAAAGCAUCCGUAGCCGGUUCUGCAAGUCCCCCGUUAAAUCCAGCUGCUCAACAGAUGGGCCGCGGAGGAUACUACAGAGCUAGGAGGCAGGAGAGGCAAGCGGUACUCAGUGGGUAGGGGUAAAAUCCGUUGAUCCAUUGAAGACCACCAGUGGCGAAGGCGGCUUGCCAGAAUGCGCUCGACGGUGAGGGAUGAAAGCUGGGGGAGCAAACCGGAUUAGAUACCCGGGUAGUCCCAG